rnacentral:rRNA from 1 species
CUGAACCAGCCAAGUAGCGUGAAGGAUGACUGCCCUAUGGGUUGUAAACUUCUUUUAUACGGGAAUAAAGUGAGGCACGUGUGCCUUUUUGUAUGUACCGUAUGAAUAAGGAUCGGCUAACUCCGUGCCAGCAGCCGCGGUAAUACGGAGGAUCCGAGCGUUAUCCGGAUUUAUUGGGUUUAAAGGGAGCGUAGGCGGACUAUUAAGUCAGUUGUGAAAGUUUGCGG